AUAUGCUUGUCUCAAAGAUUAAGCCAUGCAUGUCUCAGUGCAAGCCAAAAUAAGGUGAAACCGCGAAUGGCUCAUUAAAUCAGUUAUGGUUCCUUAGAUCGUACCACAUUACUUGGAUAACUGUGGUAAUUCUAGAGCUAAUACAUGCAAACAGAGUCCCGACCAGAAAUGGAAGGGACGCUUUUAUUAGAUCAAAACCAAUCGGUCGGCUUGUCCGGUCCGUUUGCCUUGGUGACUCUGAAUAACUUUGGGCUGAUCGCACGGUCCUAGAACCGGCGACGCAUCUUUCAAAUGUCUGCCUUAUCAACUGUCGAUGGUAGGUUCUGCGCCUACCAUGGUUGUAACGGGUAACGGGGAAUCAGGGUUCGAUUCCGGAGAGGGAGCCUGAGAAACGGCUACCACAUCCAAGGAAGGCAGCAGGCGCGCAAAUUACCCACUCCCGGCACGGGGAGGUAGUGACGAAAAAUAACGAUACGGGACUCAUCCGAGGCCCCGUAAUCGGAAUGAGUACACUUUAAAUCCUUUAACGAGUAUCCAUUGGAGGGCAA
rnacentral:rRNA from 1 species